CGAACUAAGCAGUUGUGAUGGUGCAUUGUAGUUGCAUUGCAUUUGUUAUAAAUUAUGCAAUGCAUCUGCAGUGCAAACAUUACGAUUGAAACUAUCACCUA
rnacentral:pre_miRNA from 1 species